UCCCCUAGUAACUGCGAGUGAAGCGGGAAAAGCUCAAAUUUAAAAUCUGGUGGCCUUUGGCCAUCCGAAUUGUAAUUUAGAGAAGCGUCUUCCGCGCUGGACCGUGCACAAGUCUCCUGGAAUGGAGCGUCAUAGAGGGUGAGAAUCCCGUCUUUGGCACGGAUGCCCAGUGCUUCUGUGAUGCGCUCUCGACGAGUCGAGUUGUUUGGGAAUGCAGCUCAAAAUGGGUGGUGAACUCCAUCUAAAGCUAAAUACUGGCGAGAGACCGAUAGCGAACAAGUACCGUGAGGGAAAGAUGAAAAGCACUUUGGAAAGAGAGUGAAACAGUACGUGAAAUUGUUGAAAGGGAAACGCUUGAAGUCAGUCGCGUCGACCGAGACUCAGCCUUGCCUUGGCUUGGUGUGCUUCUNGGCUNGACGGGUCAGCAUCAAUUUCAAUNCUCAGAUAAUGGCAAGGGAAAGGUAGCACCUUUUUAGGUGUGUUAUAGUCCUCUGUCGGAUGUGAGGGUCGGGAUUGAGGAACUCAGCAUGCACCUCCGGGUGUCGGGGCCUUGGCCCACGUUACAUGCUUAGGAUGCUGGCGUAAUGGCUUUAAACGACCCGUCUUGAAACACGGACCAAGGAGUCUAACAUACCCGCGAGUGUUCGGGUGGAAAACCCGUGCGCGCAAUGAAAGUAAAAGUUGGGACCUCUGUCGUGGAGGGCACCGACGCCCGGACCAGACCUUCUGUGACGGCUCUGCGGUAGAGCGUGUAUGUUGGGACC
rnacentral:rRNA from 1 species